rnacentral:misc_RNA from 1 species
UACAGAGGUCCCGAGCGUUGUUCGGAUUCACUGGGCGUAAAGGGUGCGUAGGUGGCUUGGCAAGUUUGAUGUGAAAGCUCAGGGCUCAACCCUGAAAUGGCAUUGAAUACUGCUGAACUGGAGGUUUGGAGGGGGGACUGGAAUUCUCGGUGUAGCAGUGAAAUGCGUAGAUAUCGAGAGGAACACCAGUGGCGAAGGCGAGUCCCUGGACAACACCUGACACUGAGGCACGAAAGCCGGGGGAGCAAACAGG